rnacentral:rRNA from 1 species
AAGCACGUAUCCUGUUGUGAAUACAUAGCAACAGGAGGCAAACCGGGGGAACUGAAACAUCUAAGUACCCCGAGGAAGAGAAAUCAACCGAGAUUCCGAAAGUAGCGGCGAGCGAAAUUGGAUUAGCCCUUAAGCUUUUAAUGAUGCAGGUGAAGAGUCUGGAAAGUCUCGCAAUAAAGGGUGAUAGCCCCGUAACCGACACAUCAUAAUCAGUGAAAUCGAGUAGGGCGGGACACGUGAUAUCCUGUCUGAAUAUGGGGGGACCAUCCUCCAAGGCUAAAUACUACUGACUGACCGAUAGUGAACCAGUACCGUGAGGGAAAGGCGAAAAGAACCCCUGUGAGGGGAGUGAAAUAGAACCUGAAACCGUGUACGUACAAGCAGUAGGAGCACCUUCGUGGUGUGACUGCGUACCUUUUGUAUAAUGGGUCAGCGACUUAAUUUUAGUAGCAAGGUUAACCGUUUAGGGGAGCCGUAGGGAAACCGAGUCUUAACUGGGCGUACAGUUGCUAGGAUUAGACCCGAAACCAGGUGAUCUAGCCAUGGGCAGGUUGAAGGUUGAGUAACAUCAACUGGAGGACCGAACCGACUAAUGUUGAAAAAUUAGCGGAUGACUUGUGGCUAGGGGUGAAAGGCCAAUCAAACCUGGAGAUAGCUGGUUCUCCCCGAAAGCUAUUUAGGUAGCGCCUCGGACGAAUACUACUGGGGGUAGAGCACUGUUAAGGCUAGGGGGUCAUCCCGACUUACCAACCCUUUGCAAACUCCGAAUACCAGUAAGUACUAUCCGGGAGACACACGGCGGGUGCUAACGUCCGUCGUGGAGAGGGAAACAACCCAGACCGCCAGCUAAGGUCCCAAAGUAUAGCUAAGUGGGAAACGAUGUGGGAAGGCUCAGACAGCCAGGAUGUUGGCUUAGAAGCAGCCAUCAUUUAAAGAAAGCGUAAUAGCUCACUGGUCGAGUCGGCCUGCGCGGAAGAUGUAACGGGGCUAAGCUAUACACCGAAGCUGCGGCUACGUACCUUAGGGUAUGUGGGGUAGGGGAGCGUUCUGUAAGCCGUUGAAGGUGGUCUGUAAGGGCUGCUGGAGGUAUCAGAAGUGCGAAUGCUGACAUGAGUAACGAUAAAGGGAGUGAAAAACUCCCUCGCCGGAAGACCAAGGGUUCCUGUCCAACGUUAAUCGGGGCAGGGUAAGUCGACUCCUAAGGCGAGGCCGAAAGGCGUAGUCGAUGGGAAACGGGUUAAUAUUCCCGUACUUCUUACAAUUGCGAUGGGGGGACGGAGAAGGCUAGGUGGGCCUGGCGACGGUUGUCCAGGUUCAAGUACGUAGGCGGAAAGUUUAGGUAAAUCCGGACUUUCUUAACGCUGAGAUACGAUGUCGAGCUACUACGGUAGUGAAGUCAUUGAUGCCAUGCUUCCAGGAAAAGCCUCUAAGCUUCAGAUUGUAAGGAAUCGUACCCCAAACCGACACAGGUGGUCGGGUAGAGAAUACCAAGGCGCUUGAGAGAACUCGGGUGAAGGAACUAGGCAAAAUGGUACCGUAACUUCGGGAGAAGGUACGCUCUUAUCAGUGAAGUCCCUUGCGGAUGGAGCAGACGAGAGUCGCAGAUACCAGGUGGCUGCAACUGUUUAUUAAAAACACAGCACUGUGCAAAAUCGUAAGAUGACGUAUACGGUGUGACGCCUGCCCGGUGCCGGAAGGUUAAUUGAUGGGGUUAGACUUCGGUCGAAGCUCUUGAUCGAAGCCCCGGUAAACGGCGGCCGUAACUAUAACGGUCCUAAGGUAGCGAAAUUCCUUGUCGGGUAAGUUCCGACCUGCACGAAUGGCGUAAUGAUGGCCACGCUGUCUCCACCCGAGACUCAGUGAAAUUGAAAUCGCUGUGAAGAUGCAGUGUACCCGCGGCUAGACGGAAAGACCCCGUGAACCUUUACUACAGCUUGGCACUGAACAUUGAACCUACAUGUGUAGGAUAGGUGGGAGACU